rnacentral:rRNA from 1 species
CACAGGGAAACUUGUGCUAAUACCGGAUAAGCCCUUACGGGGAAAGAUUUAUCGCCGAAAGAUCGGCCCGCGUCUGAUUAGCUAGUUGGUGAGGUAAUGGCUCACCAAGGCGACGAUCAGUAGCUGGUCUGAGAGGAUGAUCAGCCACAUUGGGACUGAGACACGGCCCAACUCCUACGGGAGGCAGCAGUGGGGAAUAUUGGACAAUGGGGGCAACCCUGAUCCAGCCAUGCCGCGUGAGUGAUGAAGGCCCUAGGGUUGUAAAGCUCUUUUGUGCGGGAAGAUAAUGACGGUACCGCAAGAUAAGCCCCGGCUAACUUCGUGCCAGCAGCCGCGGUAAUACGAAGGGGCUAGCGUUGCUCGGAAU